rnacentral:lncRNA from 1 species
GUUCGGCCUCUAAAGUGGUUAGCCAAGGAGGGCAGUACACCCCACCCCUCCUUCAGAGAAAUGACCCAAAGGACGGAAGUCACUUCUUAAAGUUGGGGAACUGGGGCGGCACCUUUCAUCUCUCCCUCUUACAGAGGUGGAGAUGUCGGUUACUCCUGCAGCUGCUACGCCCGGGAACGGAGCAUCAGGAGAAAUGUCCACCGCAGGGCUUGUGUCACUUGAAGAGUCUUUCAGGGAGGACAAGAAGCCAUUCUACUGUGAGAGAGUCUUGGGCUCAAGGCACUUGUCAGCCUCAAGCCAGUUCUCCACCAACCUGGCCAAGGCGAGCGGACAGGAUGGCUGUGGUCCGGGGGCUGCCUUGGGAUCCUCAGGUGCUGGCUUUUAAAUGGGCAGGUAAGUACUUUCUAAAUUACUCUGGGCCAUAUGCCAUCCUUCUGCAUAGUUCUGUUGACCAUCCCCAUUCACUCGGCUUUUUAAAGUUUGAGGGAGCCGUCGACAACACCUAAAAAUUAAUCUGGGUUCGGUCAUGAAACAGCCUAAAAAAAAUGUCCACGUGAACUAAACCAUCCCACACGAAGAGAAUUUGAAAACAAAGGGAAGGGGCACAUGUUCAAAGAAAA